rnacentral:tRNA from 3 species
GCGGAUGUAGUUCAAUGGUAGAACUCUAGCUUCCCAAGCUAGCAGCGCGGGUUCGAUUCCCGUCAUCCGCUCCA